CCAAGCCUGCUCAGACGCCUCUGUGUCUGGGAGAUAACUGAGUUGGUCCUCGGUAAACUAAUUAUCUCCCGGAUAUAGAGAGUGCAAUACAAAAAUACCCCAAAAACACACAUUCAACAAUCAGGUACCCCCACAUGUUGUAUAUUCCCUGGAAUGUCUGAUCUAAGUGCCCAUUCUGUAAAGCUCAGAUCCAUGGGGUAAUGUCCAAAUGCCAUUGUCUCAAUGUUUUAGCCGAACGAUUUAACAAGUUUGGCUGAAAAGAGUUCC